GAUGAACGCUGGCGGCGUGCCUAAUACAUGCAAGUCGAGCGAAUGGAUUAAGAGCUUGCUCUUAUGAAGUUAGCGGCGGACGGGUGAGUAACACGUGGGUAACCUGCCCAUAGGACUGGGAUAACUCCGGGAAACCGGGGCUAAUACCGGAUAACAUUUUGAACCGCAUGGUUCGAAAUUGAAAGGCGGCUUCGGCUGUCACUUAUGGAUGGACCUGCGUCGCAUUAGCUAGUGGGUGAGGUAACGGCUCACCAAGGCAACUAUACGUAGCCGACCUGGGCGGGUGAGCGGCGACACUGGGACUGAGACACGGCCCAGACUCCUACGGGAGGCAGCAUUAGGGAAUCUUCCGCAAUGGACGAAAGUCUGACCGAGCAACGCCGCGUGAGUGAUGAAGGCUUUCGGGUCGUAAAACUCUGUUGUUAGGGAAGAACAAGAGCUAGUUGAAUAAGCUGACACCUUGACGGUACCUAACCAGGAAGCCACGGCUAACUACGUGCCAGCCGCCGCGGUAA
rnacentral:rRNA from 1 species